AUUGAACGCUGGCGGCCGGCCUAACACAUGCAAGUCGAACGAGUGGCGGACGGGUGAGUAAUGUCUUGGAAACUGCCCGAUGGAGGGGGAUAACUACUGGAAACGGUAGCUAAUACCGCAUACCAUCGGAUGUGCCCCGAUGGGAUUAGCUAGUAGGUGGGGUAAUGGCUCACCUAGGCGACGAUCCCUAGCUGGUCUGAGAGGGUGACCAGACACACUGGAACUGAGACACGGUCCAGACUCCUACGGGAGGCAGAAGUGGGGAAUAUUGCACAAUGGGCGCAAGCCUGAUGCAGCCAUGCCGCGUGGAUGAAGAAGGCGUUCGGGUUGUAAAGUACUUUCAGCGAGGAGGCGUUACUCGCAGAAGAAGCACCGGCUAACUCCGUGCCAGCAGCCGCGGUAAUAC
rnacentral:rRNA from 1 species